rnacentral:lncRNA from 1 species
GGGGCUUCCUGCUUUGACUGAGAGACUUUCCACCUGGUUCUAAUUCAAGCAAAGAACACAUUAUAAUCUCACUUAAAUCCAAAGUAACUCUGAAACUCCUUACUAAUGUGCUCCAAGAAGAAAAUAUUGGUUGCUGGGACAUUCCUGCCACUUGAUACCUUGACUGCAGCUUUUUAAAGGGUAUCUGGCCUUUAUGAAAAGCCACAGUCACCUCUGAACUCAACAGCCUUUCCUCUGAACAUUUCCUUGGAAUGAAAUGUGCAGUCUUCACUCCUGUGGAGUCAUUCAAGGGCUGUAACAUGCUUCGACUCAACAUCACACUUUUGUCUCCAUUUAUGUAUUCACAGUUAAAAAGUUAGGUUUUCAUUAAAUGUCCCUGGUUAACAUAUGAUUUUAUCUUAAAACAAUGUUUCACUUUUCUAAAAGUGAUCUAUUUCAGAUCUAAACUAAUUAUAGACCCAGUCAAAUCUAGAAAAGGUAUUUUAAAAAAUUAGAAACAGACAAUUUCCAUUUCUAGCACACACUGUAGGUUUCUUCCCAAUCUCCACUUUUCUUCUCCUUUUU